GGGGUUGUGGCUCAGUGGUAGAGCUCUCGCCUACUACGUGUGCAGCCUGGGUUCAAUUCUCAGCACCA
rnacentral:tRNA from 1 species